GGAUUGGUAGGACUACAGAAAGGAGACUUGAGGAGAAGGACAUCAGACUCUGGGGCUCCUCAUAUGUUUCUGGGUCACUGAUGCUAUCAGCACCUGAGGGGAAUGAGCAGAGGUCAGGAGACUGCAAGCAUGGAGCCCAAGAAUCAGCCUGCAACAGCCACAGAGUAUCUGAAGUCCUCUUGAUGAGUAUUGUGCAUACUUGUUGAAAAGCUUCUCAGAGAACCGCAAACAUAGUCUAAUGAACACCCCGAAUUCUUGGAUUCAUGGGGGAGGAAGACCCCUUAGAGGAAAUCCUCCUUUGUGCUGUUACUCUCCUGAAGGAGUCUUCGGAUUGGGACCAACUAUGAGCAAUCCAACCUCUCUAGUCACUGUGUGAGACCUGGUCUACUCAUCGCAAUGAACCAUCUAAAAUGGAAUCUAGGUGCUCCCUAGGGAGGAUUCUGCAGGAAGGUGAUCACAAGAUGUCCUUGGACACUUAAGUCAGCAUUCUAUACUUCCUUCUUAAGAUCAUGAUGUUGGUGCCAUCUCUGAAAUCCUACGGCAUUUCUCAAGGAUCCAUAACUAGUAAGGAAGUCUUGUAAGACCUAAGUAGCUCCUCUCCUCCCCAAACUUGGAAAUACUAUCAAUAUCAAGGACAAUACCAUCCUAUUGGAAUAGGG